CUAGCGACAGGCUUAACACAUGCAAGUCGAGGGGCAGCACGAUGUAGCAAUACAUUGGUGGCGACCGGCGCACGGGUGAGUAACGCGUAUGCAACCUACCUAUCAGAGGGGAAUAACCCGGCGAAAGUCGGACUAAUACCGCAUAAAACAGGGGUUCCACAUGGAAAUAUUUGUUAAAGAAUUAUCGCUGAUAGAUGGGCAUGCGUUCCAUUAGAUAGUUGGUGAGGUAACGGCUCACCAAGUCCACGAUGGAUAGGGGUUCUGAGAGGAAGGUCCCCCACACUGGUACUGAGACACGGACCAGACUCCUACGGGAGGCAGCAGUGAGGAAUAUUGGUCAAUGGGCGAGAGCCUGAACCAGCCAAGUCGCGUGAAGGAUGAAGGAUCUAUGGUUUGUAAACUUCUUUUAUAUGGGAAUAAAGUGAGGAACGUGUUCCUUUUUGUAUGUACCAUAUGAAUAAGCAUCGGCUAACUCCGUGCCAGCAGCCGCGGUAAUACGGAGGAUGCGAGCGUUAUCCGGAUUUAUUGGGUUUAAAGGGUGCGUAGGUGGUUAAUUAAGUCAGCGGUGAAAGUUUGUGGCUCAACCAUAAAAUUGCCGUUGAAACUGGUUGACUUGAGUAUAUUUGAGGUAGGCGGAAUGCGUGGUGUAGCGGUGAAAUGCAUAGAUAUCACGCAGAACUCCGAUUGCGAAGGCAGCUUACUAAACUAUAACUGACA
rnacentral:rRNA from 1 species